AUUUUUGUAAAGGCAGGCACCAAUACACGAAAGAAGAAAAGAUAUUGGGGAGAGACGCAGAGAGAAGUGAAGCGGAAGGUGAUCACAAAACGAAAAUGGCUGAAGAGGCGAGAGAGAUGGUUUUGUAAUUCUUGGUGUGUUCCUUCACGCAGUGUACAGCAUCUUCGACAUCUACUUCAAGACCCCUAUCGUCCGCGGAAUGGAUCUCGUCACUCCUCGCUUCUGUGCCCCUGCAAAGCGCCUUGUGCUUCUAGUUGGUAUCUUCUUAAGCUGCUUCCGUUUUAGUAUCUCAACUUUUUUUUGCUGGUUUUGUAUUUUAAUUGGUCUUAGUAGCCUCUCGACUUCACGGGUUUGAGUAUUGGAGCAAGUGGCGAUGGCUAUUUUUCUUCGCGGAUGGGUUGCAUGCUACACAUUUUUUUAGCCAAACUCAGAAGGAGAUUUUAGAGCACUGUUUCUCUGAAGUGUAAUUAAAAUGAAAGGUAAAUGGGGUGUAUCUCAUGCUCGGCCUCCCACAGAAUCAAGGCCUGGACAUGUUGCGAUAAUAGCUGGUUUUAUGAGGAUUCUAGUGCAGCUACUAAAGGUUGGAAAGCUAAUCCGUUGAAUUUGAUUCAGUUUUAACCGAAGCCGGCAUACAUUUGCUUUUGGUAGCCCAGACAUAGUUCCUUCCAAUAUUUUCUGCUUUCUUGCCACAUAGCACCUGGAAUACAUAUCCACAUGAGUUUGAAGACUUUGCAACUGGUUUGGCACAAUCUUUGAACUCAAAUGGUUUUGUCUCAUGAAAUUUGAUCCCAUUGUCAUUUUUUUCUAGUAGGAAGCUAAAGAAGUGCAAGUAACAGUUUUGCUUA